UAUUCCUUCCUACUGUGCAGCUUUUUAAGUUCAACUACUUUAUUUUACAGAUGAGGGAGACCAAAGCCCAGAGAAAUGAAGAUGUCAGGGACAAUCUGCUGGGUCUAUGACUCUCAGUCUGUGCCUUCUCUGAGACUGCAGAGGGUAGGUACACAGUGAGAAGUGGGUGAAAGAGCCCUGGCUUUCAAGUCAUAUUUGGCCAGGUUUGAAGUCUGACCUUGUCCUGUACCAGCUGUGUGACCUCGGGUGAGCUGUUGAGCCUCUCUGAGCUGCAAAAGAAAACCACAUGGCUCUCCUCCAAGAUUGUUGUGAAGACUGAUGUCUAAAAAAUGCCAGCUACAAAAAGGGAUCCACCAGACGCUGCUCCCCGCUGCUGACCUGGCCCAGAGACACUUGUGGGACGGCUGAUUGAUGACCACAUCAAACGUCAAGUACCGGGAGUGAGAGAGUUGGUCUAAUCAUGUGCCACUAUUGAGACCUUGAAACCUAGGCUGGUCUGAACUGAGAUCUAUACCACGUGUGAAUACAUACACUCAAUUACUAAGAUUUGGUUCAAAAAGAAGAAUAUAAAAUGCCUCAUCGAUAAUCUCUAAUAGUGACUAUGUGUUGAAAUCAUUUGGAUAUAUUGUGUUAAAUAAAAUGAUGAUCAGAGAUCUGGGGUUGUGGCUCAGUGGUAGAGCAUUCACCUAGCAUGCAGAAGGCACUAGGUUCAAUCCUCGGCACCAUAUUGCCGCAGUCUGGCUGGGCACAAAUCACGAGCCACUGAAGCAGGAACAAACUUUAUUUCUGAACUCCACCAGCACACUCCACACACGCUCCCCCGGGAACUCUCCUGAAUG
rnacentral:lncRNA from 1 species